rnacentral:piRNA from 1 species
UAAAGACCAGCUGAGACAUCCAGCCUA